rnacentral:lncRNA from 10 species
UUCAUUUGCCUUUCAGAGACAGCAAACAGGGCUAAUUUUCUUUUUGUAACACUACUCAAAUAUUCGCACACGGUCUGAGUUGUCUAAAACCUCUCUCUUUUUCUCCACAAAAUUACCUACUGAGUACAAUGUCCAUUAUUUGGGUAAUGAAUAUAAUUGAAACCCAAACCUCAUCAUUACACUAUAUAGCCAUGUAACAAACCUAUGCAUGUACCCCUUGGGUCCCCUGAAUUAAACUUUCUUUUUUUAAAUUUUGUUUCCUACCAGUAACUUUAUGAGUUUCUUCUCAGAUGCUUUCACUUGCAGCCAUCCGGUGCUCUGCCUGAAAACCAGGACACUAGUUUCUGCAAAUAUGUUAAAUAAGCAGUGAUCUUACCCAGACAUUAAAAUAACCAAAGCAGAUUGAGCAUUUAACCCGUUGGUGAUGAAUUCAGUCUGUAAACGUUCAACCUGGUGGUGUUGUCUUUAAUGGUGCAACUAGUGAAGAAUGCAGGUGGGAAGAAAGGUUGUUUUCUUUCUUGACUGUGAUCUGGAAAUGUACAACCAGAGGAUCUCAAUAAAUGCUCCAAUGUGUGACCAGCUAAUUUUAUUAACAUCAGUUCUCUAUGAAAUGAUGCUGCAUUUACUCGGUAACAGAAUGAAGUGGCAUAAAUGAGAGGCGGUGGACACUAACCUGUGACUGAGAGAGAGGAGCUACCACCGAUGAAGACUGGUCAUUUGGGUUUCACAUUUCUCUGUGAAUGAACAGUUUUGAAAAACUAAGCCUCGUGUAUCUAUUCUCCUUUAAAAGUACUGCCUUCCUAAGGAAAACACCCUCAAUGUAUUCAUUUUGUUUCAGUUCUUUGUCUGGAGCUGUUGCUACAACUGCUUUAAUGAGAGACAAUUUUUUUUUCUGUCAUCCACAGUGUCUUUUGCAGCCCUCUUUUGAAUUAAUAAAACGCAUUUUCAAAGUGUUUUGUUGGACUUAGAAGUGCUCUUAUAAUCCUCCACAAAGUGAAACUAACCAUAACUUCAUGAACGAUUUAAUAAACUAGUAUCCAGUUAUUCCAAAGAGCCAUUUAUUCAUUUAUUAAGCCAAUUAUUAAGCCUUGAGACACGUAAUUACCUGGAAUUUAAGAGACUAUAUUCUCAUUGCUCUUACCAAAAACUAUCACCUCAAAUUUCACUUGCAAGUUACUGUCUGCCUAACUCAAGACAGUUAUUUGUGAUAACAAAGAAGUUUAUCACCAUUCUAUGUAAAAGAGUCUGCUUGUCAAAAUCCAUAGUAUGUUUGUCACUGUUGCUAUGGGACACAGCAAUGGAAAGUAAUCAUAAUUGCUGUUUUAAAUAUGUGACUUAU